rnacentral:rRNA from 1 species
UACAGAGACUGCAAGCGUUAUUCGGAUUCACUGGGCGUAAAGGGUGCGCAGGCGGUCGUGUGUGUGAGGUGUGAAAGCCCGGGGCUUAACCCCGGAAAUGCGCCUCAAACUACAGGACUAGAGCAUUGGAGAGGGUAGCGGAAUUCACGGUGUAGCAGUGAAAUGCGUAGAUAUCGUGAGGAACACCAGAGGCGAAGGCGGCUACCUGGACAAUUGCUGACGCUCAGGCACGAAAGCGUGGGGAGCAAAAGGGAUUAGAAACCCCCGUAGUCC